rnacentral:rRNA from 1 species
AGCGAACGCUGGCGGCAGGCUUAACACAUGCAAGUCGAACGCCCCGCAAGGGGAGUGGCAGACGGGUGAGUAACACGUGGGAACGUACCCUUUGGUUCGGACUAACUUGGGGAAACUCAAGCUAAUACCGGAUAAGCCCUUAUGGGGAAAGGUUUACUGCCGAAGGAUCGGCCCGCGUCUGAUUAGCUAGUUGGUGAGGUAAGGGCUCACCAAGGCGACGAUCAGUAGCUGGUCUGAGAGGAUGAUCAGCCACACUGGGACUGAGACACGGCCCAGACUCCUACGGGAGGCAGCAGUGGGGAAUAUUGGACAAUGGGGGCAACCCUGAUCCAGCCAUGCCGCGUGAGUGAUGAAGGCCUUAGGGUUGUAAAGCUCUUUUACCCGGGACGAUAAUGACUGUACCGGGAGAAUAAGCCCCGGCUAACUUCGUGCCAGCAGCCGCAGUAA